ACCCCUCCAUCCACCCACUCA
rnacentral:miRNA from 1 species